UUUCUGUAAGUAAAUAUAGCACCUAACAAAAGAGUGCACUGCAGUAUACAUGGUGCAUACAAAGGCACCACAAGGCCAUACCAUGUGUAUACAAAGGUGCCACGAGGCCAUACCAUGUUCGUACAAAGGCGCUAUGAGGCCAUACCAUGUGUGUACAAAGGCACCAUGAGGCCAUACCAAGUAGAGGAGUACACCAAAAACAACCUCUCUACAUUAGACAGAGAGAUUGACAAAAGACAAGCCUUUUACAUUAACAAGAAUCCAACUAAUCAACAAAAUCUAAAAUGGACAUAGAGGCCCCCUCUAAAGACUUUCUUGCCCAAAGCUAGAGAAAGCAUAAGAAAAUAAUUUUUUAGAGUUUGGACCAAAUGUUCUUCAUUGACAAAGAGACUACA
rnacentral:lncRNA from 1 species